GCCCGGGUGGCGGAAUUGGUAGACGCGCUGGACUCAAAAUCCAGUGAUAGCAAUGUCGUGCGGGUUCGAUUCCCGCCCCGGGUA
rnacentral:tRNA from 1 species